ensembl:snoRNA
UUAUGACUUAAUGCACAGUUUCCAUCUGUCUGAUAGCAGUGCCUGUAUUUUGCAUUCAGAUCUUGCUGUCCACACAAACAGUAGGCAGCCAGAGAGUAAGUUGGAAUCAUAGUUUUGGCCUGGUGUUGUCACUUUAGACACUUUUAGUACUGGUCAGUGUCCAGAUUCCCACGCACAG